rnacentral:rRNA from 1 species
GUCGGACGGCAGCACGGGAGCUUGCUCCUGGUGGCGAGUGGCGGACGGGUGAGUAGCGCUUGGGAAUCUGCCUGGCAUUGGGGGAUAACUCGGGGAAACUCGAGCUAAUACCGCGUACGCCCUGAGGGGGAAAGCAGGGGACUUGCUUGCAAGCCUUGCGAUGUCAGAUGAGCCCAAGCCGGAUUAGCUAGUUGGUAGGGUAAAGGCCUACCAAGGCGACGAUCCGUAGCUGGUCUGAGAGGAUGAUCAGCCACACUGGGACUGAGACACGGCCCAGACUCCUACGGGAGGCAGCAGUGGGGAAUAUUGGACAAUGGGGGCAACCCUGAUCCAGCCAUGCCGCGUGUGUGAAGAAGGUCUUAGGAUUGUAAAGCACUUUAAGUCAGGAGGAAGGCGCUCUGGUUAAUACCUGGAGUGAUUGACGUUACUGACAGAAUAAGCACCGGCUAACUUCGUGCCAGCAGCCGCGGUAAUACGAAGGGUGCAAGCGUUAAUCGGAAUUACUGGGCGUAAAGCGCGCGCAGGCGGUUCGAUAAGAAAGAUGUGAAAGGCCUGGGCUCAACCUGGGAAUGGCAUUUUUAACUGUCGGGCUAGAGUACGGUAGAGGGUGGUGGAAUUUCCUGUGUAGCGGUGAAAUGCGUAGAUAUAGGAAGGAACAUCAGUGGCGAAGGCGACCACCUGGACUGAUACUGACGCUCAUGUGCGAAAGCGUGGGGAGCAAACAGGAUUAGAUACCC